rnacentral:rRNA from 1 species
UACAGAGGCCUCGAGCGUUAGGCGGAAUCACUGGGCGUAAAGCGCGUGUAGGCGGCUGUUCAAGUUGGGCGUGAAAGCCUUGGGCUUAACCCAAGAAAUGCGCUCAAUACUGGAUAGCUAGAGGACCGGAGAGGAUAGUGGAAUUCCCAGUGUAGUGGUGAAAUACGUAGAGAUUGGGAAGAACACCAGUGGCGAAGGCGGCUAUCUGGACGGUUUCUGACGCUAAGACGCGAAAGCGUGGGGAGCAAACAGG